rnacentral:rRNA from 1 species
UACGAAGGGGGCAAGCGUUGUUCGGAAUUACUGGGCGUAAAGGGCGCGUAGGCGGCUUACCAAGUCAGGCGUGAAAUUCCCGGGCUCAACCUGGGGGCUGCGCUUGAUACUGGUGAGCUUGAAUGCGGGAGAGGAUAGUGGAAUUCCCAGUGUAGAGGUGAAAUUCGUAGAUAUUGGGAGGAACACCGGUGGCGAAGGCGGCUAUCUGGCCCGUAAUUGACGCUGAGACGCGAAAGCGUGGGGAGCAAACAGG